CAGAGUGGUAGGGAAGGGGAAAGGGAGAGAUGGAGGGAAGAGGAAAGGGACAGAGUGGUAGGGAAGGGGAAAGGAGAGAUGUGGUAGGGAAAAUGGACGAAGGAGAAGGAAAGGCAUUCCUAAAGCCUGAGAACUACAGGUAGACCUGUACCUGUGGUUAGAUACACUGUUCUACAUUAUAAACACUCAAUCACACACACAAUGUUGGAUAUACUACAUUAAUUGGCAUGGACCUGUUAUUAUAGUCCAUUAAUAACACACACACACACACGGGUAAUUCUCACGAAACUGUAAUAAAAAAAUACAUUUAGUCAUUUUUCACAAAAUGUCCUCUUGAAUAACUGAGAUUAGGAUCUAUAUGUAUCUAUUUCAUACUUAUUAUUAUUUUUUAUUAGAUAUUAUGCAUUCUACCAACGUUUUCACAAAAUUCUCAUUCGUUUUUGAAGUCCAAAAAAGUUAAAUCAAUAUUUCUAAUAUUUUUUAACAUUGCUCCCCUAAUGAAAAUGCCUGAGUUAAACAUAACACUGAAAAUACAAUUAUUAUAAAAUGAAAAUCAGACUUUUCCCCAAUUUGAGCUCUUUAGCUGUUUUCUAAGGACUACUCUAGAUGAUGCAUCAUGGGUGAAGAAAUGUUUAUUUCAAAGCUGGAGUUUUAUAGGAACUUGGUAAUGAGACAUAUCCACAGACACUGCUUGUAUGUAAUAAAUAUUAUAGUUUAAUGUAAACUUCAACUAGUAUACCAUUUUUAUAAUUUAUGGAGAAACUACAGCAACAUAUUUUGUUUUAUUUAAACAAGUUAGGUUUUUUUAAAGAUGUAUUUUUAUAAAAUUACCAUGAAUUUAAUCAGUACGCAUUUCAGUAAUGAAAAUGUAUUUUUCAUUAUUUUUUUACAUGACACUUUCCCCUAAAACUAGACAUCUUAGUCCUCAGAAUGAUAUCAUGCACCACCCCACACACACACAAGUUAAGGAAUUGCAUUGGGAACGUCUGUGUGAUUUCAGUCCCUCUAAAAGAGUGUUCAAAAGGAUGUGAAUGGAAGAGAGGACAGAAUGAUGAGAAUGAAGGGAAGAAUAGAAGGAAGGGGAGAAGGAAGAAGAGAAGGAAGGGGAGAUGGGAGAAGGAAGAAGAGAAGAAAGGGGAGAAGGAAGAAGAGAAGGAAGAAGAGAAGAAAGGGGAGAAGGAAGGGGAGAUGGAAGAAUAGAAGGAAGGGAAGAAGAGAAGAAAGGGGAGAAGGAAGAAUAGAAGGAAGAAGAGAAGGAAGGGGAGAAGGAAGAAGAGAAGGAAGGGGAGAAAGUGUGAUGCUGCUUCUAGUAUGGCUCUUCUUACUGUACUCAUGUGCCUUACAGCCAGACUAUGGUGCUUUUACCUUAUUCUGUUAUUUUUCACUUACCUUGUUGUUGCUCAACCUGCUAUAAGCAUGUUUUGUCCAUGUGCCUUUAUGUCCAAUACUCCAGUUGCCAUGAAAGACAGACUUUAGAAAAGAGACACAACAAGAUUUAACCUACUGCACUGUAUGGACCUUGAUUUGAGGGCCUGUUAAUAAACUGCUUUAUUGAAUGGUUAAUAAACAAUUUAAUAAUGUAAACUGGUUCAUAAACAAUGUAAUCAUGUUUAUAAGCAUCUUAUAAGCAGUCCUUCAAACAAAGUGUUAAAUCGUUUUGGGGGUAUAUUGAGAUUCUGCGGAUUCUGAAUGAUGCUCUCCUUCCUCUGCUGAUGACAUGUUUAUGUGCCAGUGGUAACGCUCUGUCUGUAGACACUCUCCGUUGACAUUGGAGAGGAAAAGACUUGUUAUCAAACAGUUUUAUCAUGUUUUCGCUCUGUAUGUGCGUGACUAUUUUCAGUAUAUCUUCUGAGUGUCAUUGACAUGUUACCAAGGUCACACAGGCAGAACUUUAUUUUCAGUAUAUCUUCUGAGUGUCAUUGACAUGUUACCAAGGUCACACAGGCAGAACUUUAUUUUCAGUAUAUCUUCUGAGUGUCAUUGACAUCUUACCAAGGUCACACAGGCAGAACUUUAUUUUCAGUAUAUCUUCUGAGUGUCAUUGACAUCUUACCAAGGUCACACAGGCAGAACUUUAUUUUCAGUAUAUCUUCUGAGUGUCAUUGACAUCUUACCAAGGUCACACAGGCAGAACUUUAUUUUCAGUAUAUCUUCUGAGUGUCAUUGACAUCUUACCAAGGUCACACAGGCAGAACUUUAUUUUCAGUAUAUCUUCUGAGUGUCAUUGACAUCUUACCAAGGUCACACAGGCAGAACUUUAUUUUCAGUUUAUUUCAAUAGUUUUUGCAAAACAAAAAUUGCCAUUGUAAAUGUAAAGGCAAAAAACAACAGUCCAGCCAGUCAGGAUCCCAAAUAGAAUGUCAAUAAUUCAGAUUUUUUUUAAAGCAAUAUUUGAACUGUUUUCCAGUCUAGACCAGUUAAGACCAGUAUGGACCAGUUGUGGUUUCAUUGCAGUGUGGUAUGAUGCAUGUCAUCGACUAGAGAUGCAUUCAACUCCGCUAACGAUUAUAAAGCUCCCAACUCUGAGCGCCCACCAACAAUCCAACUCACCAAGAAUGUUCGACAACAGGAGCAAACUCUUCUAUUCUAUUGAAAACACUUGAUUGUGUACUCUUUCUUCAACAAUGACGAAAGUUUUCUGCAAAUGUUUGCAGAGUUGAAUGCCAGUCUGGUUUGGUCCAGUCCAAUCUGUUUCUGGGCAUAAUGAUCCAGUAGAAUCCUGACCCACACUGAUGAUAUCAUGCAUCAUGAUGGAUAUUCAUUGGGGGCCUGGAUUGGUUGGUCAGAACAGGACAUUUCUUCUCAGGAGACUGGAAAGGGCCAUUGUAAUUUAGGCUUUAUUUAGCACAGAUUUUUUUAGGCCAUACUGCCCCGGAUUAGAUUAUCCCGUGUGUGUGGUAUGUGUUUUUCUGUUAUUCUAGAGUGAUUUGAGGUAUGAUUCCUAUGAGAAACAGGUUUACAGUCAUGUUUCAUGUUUGACAUCAUUGUUUCAGAAAAGUUAGGAUUUUUCUUGAGUUUGGAUUUUAGCAACUCAAUUGCUCAGUAAGCAAAAAUAUGAUCCAUGGAACAAUGGAAGUGUUGUAUUUUUAUCAUUAUAUAUUUUCAAUUGUUGUUGUAUGUUAAGUGCCUUAUCUGUAAUGUAUGGGAUAGCCUACCCUCUCACCUUUCUACCUUCUUCAGCUCCUCUCAUCCUCAUUCAUCCUUUCUCCCUCUUUCUUCUGCUUCUUAUUGUUCCCCACUCCUACUCAUCCAUCUCCUCCCUCAUUCUGAGAUCCUCCCCUCAGCCUUUCACAUCCCCACUCCAACCCUCGUUCAUUUGUACUAACCUUGACCAAUCUUCCUCUCUUCCCCCGUCGCUUUGGAAAAACAACAGUCACGUAAUUACAGUGUUAUUUUUAUGUGUGUAUUAUGAUGCUUAAGUAUUAUCAUUAAUAAUAAAAACAACGAUCAUGAAUAACUACGCCAAA
ensembl:lncRNA